rnacentral:rRNA from 1 species
GAUGAACGCUAGCGGCAGGCUUAAUACAUGCAAGUCGAGGGGCAGCGGGGGUAGCAAUACCUGCCGGCGACCGGCAAACGGGUGCGGAACACGUACACAACCUUCCUUUAAGUGGGGGAUAGCCCAGAGAAAUUUGGAUUAAUACCCCGUAACAUGAUUGAGUGGCAUCACUUAAUUAUUAAAGUUCCGGCGCUUAAAGAUGGGUGUGCGUCUGAUUAGGUAGUUGGUAGGGGUAACGGCCCACCAAGCCAACGAUCAGUAACUGGUGUGAGAGCACGACCAGUCACACGGGCACUGAGACACGGGCCCGACUCUACGGGAGGCAGCAGUAAGGAAUAUUGGUCAAUGGACGCAAGUCUGAACCAGCCAUGCCGNGUGGA